AUACUACUCCCUCCGUCCCAAAAUAAGUGACUCAAAACUUACUCAACUUUGUACUAACAUUAGUACAAAGUUGAGUAAGUUUUGAGUCACUUAUUUUGGGACGGAGGGAGUAGUAU
rnacentral:pre_miRNA from 1 species